UGCCUCUGCCUCGUUCUGUCUUCUCCAUUCGGGUGCCAGGCACAAACUCCCAUCCUUGAACCGGGACGUAGCCCCCGCCUCCACCGCCCACAGCGUGCAGCCCCGUUCCGUUAAGAAGCGCGUUCCACAUAUCUCAAACAGACGAAACUAACUAUCUCAUAUUUACAACAAAUCUAAAGUCCUUGAACGCAUCAAUAUGAAAAAGGGUCCAAAUUGUCCACUCCCGAGGGCCAAGCAUCAGCCCUCAUGCGAUAUUCCAUCAUAAAAUAAUCAAGAUUAAUCCUGUUACCACUUCCGGCUAAAAACGUGCGAUUUUCUCUCCACUUUGCAAGCAAUGUCACUCUGAACGGACGUGCGAUGACAGACGCCCAGUAACCACUACACCGCUCGAACAGGAGAAGGUGCCAAAAAUAUCACAGAGUCCACUCCUAUUCCCGGAGGUGAAAAUGUUCUAUGGAUCAGAGCGCGGUCAAGAGAACAUGGAUCCCGACCACAUGUCAACCAGCAGGUUUCGCUGCCGUCGACUCCCCUGAGACACUGGCGUCAAGACACCCGUGGAGACACCCUUCCAAGGGACUAUCAGCUCCAUCCAAGCCUGUUCUCACUUCUGACUCCUGCAUCCACAAGUAUCAGCUCAGUGAACCCUUGACUGUUUGAUUGGCUCCAGCACCCCCCGCGACACCGAAAGCGACAAGCGGUAGAAGAUGGAUGGAUUGAUGUUUGGCAGUGUGGUGUGUUUAGUGACACUCUGGUAAAAUGGAUUAUUAGGUUCUUGUUGACUUUAAUUGGAUUAUUACUGUAGACAGCAACUUUAUCUGGUUCCAUAUUGGAAUCUUUUACAGCUUUAUUAAAAAGAAAAAUGCUCAAAGCUUGUUUAA